rnacentral:rRNA from 1 species
GACGAACGCUGGCGGCGUGCUUAACACAUGCAAGUCGAGCGGGCCUUGUCCCCUUUUUUUUUGGGGGUGGGGUUAGUGGCGAACGGGUGAGUAACACGUUAGUAACCUGCCCCUCACUUCUGGAUAACCGCUUGAAAGGGUGGCUAAUACGGGGUGUUCUGGCCUGCUCGCAUGGGUGGGUUUGGAAAGAUUCGACCGGUUUUGGUUGUUUUGGUGGGGGAUGGGCUCGCGGCCUAUCAGCUUGUUGGUGGGGUGAUGGCCUGCCAAGGCUUUGACGGGUAGCCGGCCUGAGAGGGUGGGCGGUCACACUGGGACUGAGACACGGCCCAGACUCCUACGGGAGGCAGCAGUGGGGAAUAUUGCACAAUGGGCGCAAGCCUGAUGCAGCGACGCCGCGUGAGGGAUGGAGGCCUUCGGGUUGUGAACCUCUUUCGCCAGUGAAGAAGGUCCUGCUCUUUGUGGUGGGGUUGACGGUAGCUGGGUUAAUGAAGCGCCGGCUAACUACGUG